rnacentral:rRNA from 1 species
AACGAACGCUGGCGGCAUGCCUAACACAUGCAAGUCGAACGAGACCUUCGGGUCUUUUGGCGCAUGGGGGUGUAACGCGUGGGAAUCUACCCUCAGGUUUGGAAUAACUCAGAGACAUUUGUGCUAACACCGGACGAGGACGUAAGCCCAAAGAUUUAUUGCCUGAGGAUGAGCCCGCGUAGGAUUAGGUGGUUGGUAAGGUAAUGGCUCACCAAGCCGACGAUCCUUAGCUGGGUAGAGAGGAAGGUCAGCCACACUUGGACGGAGACGCGGCCCGGACUCCUACGGGAGGCGGCAGAGGGGGAUAUUGGAAAAUGGCGGGAGGGAUGAACGAGCUAUGACGCGUAAGCGAUGAAAGCAGGGGAGAUGUAAAGCUCUUUUACCCGGGAUCGUAAUGACGGUACCGGAUGAAUAAGCCCCGGCUAACUCCGUG